rnacentral:tRNA from 2 species
GGACCCAUAGCUCAGCUGGUUAGAGUGCUUCCUUGACAUGGAAGAGGUCAGAGGUUCGAUCCCUCUUGGGUCCA